AUACGUAGGUGACAAGCGUUAUCCGGAUUUACUGGGUGUAAAGGGCGUGUAGGCGGUUUGGCAAGUCAGAAGUGAAAUUCCCGGGCUUAACUUGGGCGCUGCUUCUGAAACUGCUUAACUUGAGUGCUGGAGAGGAUAGUGGAAUUCCUAGUGUAGCGGUAAAAUGCGCAGAUAUUAGGAGGAACACCGGUGGCGAAGGCGGCUAUCUGGACAGUAACUGACGCUGAGGCGCGAAAGCACGGGGAGCAAACAGGAUUAGAUACCCUGGUAGUCCGUGCCGUAAACGAUGAAUACUAGGUGUAGGGGGUAUCGACUCCCUCUGUGCCGCAGUUAACACAUUAAGUAUUCCACCUGGGGAGUACGGCCGCAAGGUUGAAACGCAAAUGAAUUGGCGGGG
rnacentral:rRNA from 1 species